GUAGGUGGCAAGCGUUGUCCGGAAUUAUUGGGCGUAAAGCGCGCGCAGGCGGGUUCUUUAAGUCUGAUGUGAAAGCCCACGGGCUCAACCGUGGAGGGUCAUUGGAAACUGGAGAACUUGAGUACAGAAGAGGAAAGCGGAAUUCCACGUGUAGCGGUGAAAUGCGUAGAGAUGUGGAGGAACACCAGUGGCGAAGGCGGCUUUCUGGUCUGUAACUGACGCUGAGGCGCGAAAGCGUGGGGAGCAAACAGGAUUAGAUACCCUGGUAGUCCACGCCGUAAACGAUGAGUGCUAAGUGUUAGGGGGUUUCCGCCCCUUAGUGCUGCAGCUAACGCAUUAAGCACUCCGCCUGGGGAAUACGACCGCAAGGUUG
rnacentral:rRNA from 1 species